GAUGAACGCUGGCGGCGUGCCUAAUACAUGCAAGUCGAGCGAACGGACGAUAAGCUUGCUUCUCUGAUGUUAGCGGCGGACGGGUGAGUAACACGUGGAUAACCUACCUAUAAGACUGGGAUAACUUCGGGAAACCGGAGCUAAUACCGGAUAAUAUUUUGAACCGCAUGGUUCAAAAGUGAAAGACGGUCUUGCUGUCACUUAUAGAUGGAUCCGCGCUGCAUUAGCUAGUUGGUAAGGUAACGGCUUACCAAGGCAACGAUGCAUAGCCGACCUGAGAGGGUGAUCGGCCACAAUGGAACUGAGACACGGUCCAGACUCCUAAGGGAGGCAGCAGUAGGGAAUCUUCCGCAAUGGGCGAAAGCCUGACGGAGCAACGCCGCGUGAGUGAUGAAGGUCUUCGGAUCGUAAAACUCUGUUAUUAGGGAAGAACAUAUGCGUAAGUAACUGUGCACAUCUUGAAGGUACCUAAUCAGAAAGCCACGGCUAACUACGUG
rnacentral:rRNA from 1 species